AACGUAGGAGGCGAGCGUUAUCCGGAGUUACUGGGCGUAAAGCGCGCGUAGGCGGUCGGGUAAGUGGCUUGUGAAAUCCCUCGGCUUAACCGAGGAACUGCCUGCCAGACUGUGAGGCUUGAGACCGGGAGAGGUGAGUGGAAUUCCCAGUGUAGCGGUGAAAUGCGUAGAUAUUGGGAGGAACACCAGUGGCGAAGGCGGCUCACUGGACCGGAACUGACGCUGAGGCGCGAAAGCGUGGGGAGCAAACAGG
rnacentral:rRNA from 1 species